rnacentral:rRNA from 1 species
UACGGGGGGGGCAAGCGUUGUUCGGAAUUACUGGGCGUAAAGGGCUCGUAGACGGCCAACUAAGUCAGACGUGAAAUCCCUCGGCUUAACCGAGGAAGUGCAUCCGAAACUGAGCAGCUAGAGUACGAAAGAGGGUCGCGGAAUUCCCGGUGUAGAGGUGAAAUUCGUAGAUAUCGGGAGGAACACCGGUGGCGAAGGCGGCGACCUGGGUCGAGACUGACGCUGAGGCGCGAAAGCGUGGGGAGCAAACAGG